rnacentral:lncRNA from 1 species
UGACCGUCUGAUCAAGCCCUAAUUUGGAUAAAAUGUAGAGAAGGUAAUCAGAUUUCUAACGUAAUUGGAUUGGGCACAAUCCAACGGUUAGAUCAUAAGAUAUCUCCAAUUUACUGAAGACAUGUUAUGCAGUCUUGCGUAAGAAUAAAGAGAAGAAUUGAAGAUUUGACCUCAAAGGCCAACAUCUGCAGUUCAAAGGGGUCAUGCCCGCUGUAAACACCCUCUUGUCCGCGCCUCCAGUCCUAUACCCAUGGUUGAACCAUGUUUUACAAGUCCCAAAGAGUCUUCAUCCAUGGCAAGCCCAAUCGUGGCCCUAAGGUCCAUUUUCAAGCCCAAC